UCUGUGAUGGAACAGGACUUGCCUUUCCUGCUGGUCUUUGUGACUCAGGAUUCUAUUGCAGUGGAGGAGCUGUUUCUCCAAGACCCCAUCUGGUCACAAGCAAAGGUGGUCAGUGCCCACCUGGCCAUUAUUGUGUGAUUGGGACUGAUAGACCACAACCAUGCCCAGCAGGGAGUUACAAUCCCUUCUGGGAAAUGGACCAAUGUUUGGAUUGUCCAGAAGGGGCUUAUUGUAAUAUUGGUUCUGCCAACUACACCCACUGCCCUGCUGGUCAUUACUGCCCAAAGAACACCAAGUUUGCUACCCAGUUCCCUUGUCCCAGAGGGACCUACAGUGAAAUUUUGAGCCUCAGGAUGGUGGCUGAGUGCCAGCCAUGCCCUUCUGGGAAAUUUUGCUCCAAGCCCGGUUUGAUCAAUCCUGAUGGCAUCUGCAUGCCAGGAUGGUAUUGUCCACUUGGGUCAACGUCAGGCAAGCCAAUAUCUACAGGAAAUCACUCUGAAGCAGACUUAAUUCGAAGGUGCCAGUCAGGGUCCUUCUGUCCAGAAGCUUCUUCUAUUCCCAUUCUUUGUAGUCCAGGUAAAUGUAUUUCUCGCGUUCACCAACAAACUCAUUCAGAUCUGGGUGUCCACGUUCCUUUCUCUAGACAAGAAGAAACUGAGAUUUGUCCUAAGAUGACUUCUAUCUCCCAAGGUCUGAUCUCAGAUCUCAACAAUGGGCUAUAUAUUUACACUGAAGAGCAAUCAAGGAAACGGCAACACUCUGUUUUA